rnacentral:rRNA from 1 species
UCGGGAAUUUUGGGCAAUGGGCGAAAGCCUGACCCAGCAACGCCGCGUGAAGGAUGAAGUAUUUCGGUAUGUAAACUUCGAAAGAAUAGGAAGAAUAAAUGACGGUACUAUUUAUAAGGUCCGGCUAACUACGUGCCAGCAGCCGCGGUAAUACGUAGGGACCAAGCGUUGUUCGGAUUUACUGGGCGUAAAGGGCGCGUAGGCGGCAAUUCAAGUCAUCUGUGAAAUCUCCGGGCUUAACUCGGAACGGUCAGAUGAUACUGCUUUGCUAGAGUGCAGAAGGGGCAAUCGGAAUUCUUGGUGUAGCGGUGAAAUGCGUAGAUAUCAAGAGGAACACCUGAGGUGAAGACGGGUUGCUGGGCUGACUACUGACGCUGAGGCGCGAAAGCC